UUGAAUCUUAUCAUUUAAUAUCAGUGUGGGGGUAAAAUAUAUAAAUAAUUAAAUCAUUUAAUCAGUUAGUAAAAGUAUAGAAUACUGUAAACGGGAUGAUAGUAGAGAAGUAUUGUAAAAGAAAGGUUAAUAAAAAUUUACUGUAAAAAAGAAAUGUUAUAGGUAUGUACCUUUUGUAUCAGGGAUAAUCAAAAUAAUUGGUCGAACAUCCAUAAUCCCGAAAUAAUAGGAGCUAAAUCUAAAAUAUUUUUUACGUGGAAAAGUAAUAUUUAAUUUAGAUUUAGUGGUGAUAUGUUAUCCGACUGUUAUAUAUCUGGUUCUUUUUGAAAAAAAUUUAAUUUUGAAAACCAUUAAAAUUAAAAUGAGUUUUUUAAUUGCAGGAGGCAUGAGCUUCUUGUAAUGAAGUGUUAUAAGGUAUAGAUAUGUUAGUAGUUUAGAUUGGCUUAAAAACAGUCAUUUUAAUAAAGCGUUUUAGUUAAGAUAGUUAAUCAGAGUAAUUUAUAUAGACCUAUAGCCGAUUAAAGAAGAAUAAAUUUAAAUGAAUUUAUGUUUAGUUAUAAUGAUUAUAUUAGUAGUAAGUAAGUUGUUACCUAGAAAAAUCAAGAUAAUACAUUAAAAUCUUGCACAUUGAGUGGUGUAGAAGAGGAACUCGGCAAACAAAUAACUCCUGCCUGUUUAUCAAAAACAUGUCUGUAAGAAUACAAAUUUAAAGUCUGGCCUGCCCACUGAAGUAUUUUAAAGGGCCGCGGUAAUUUGACCGUGCGAAGGUAGCAUAAUCAAUAGUCUUUUAAUUGGAGGCUGGAAUGAAUGGUCGGACAAGGAGUGGGCUGUCUUCUCUAUACUCGGCGAAGUUUACUUUUAAGUGAAAAGGCUUAAAUACACUUAAGGGACGAUAAGACCCUAUAAAACUUUACAGUAUAAUUUAUAUUUUAUAAAAUAAAAUAUAACGUUAAUUAUGAACUAUCUGUUAUGUUGGGGUGACAAAGAUAUAAUUAGUAACUGUCAGGUAAAAAUAAUAAUAAUACUUAGGUUAGUUGAUCCUCUAUUAGAGAUUAUAAGAUUAAGUUACUUUAGGGAUAACAGCGUAAUUUUCUUUGAGAGUCCUUAUCGACAAGAAUAGUUGCGACCUCGAUGUUGAAUUAAGAUUUCUCUUAAAUGUAGCAGUUUAGGUAGUAGGUCUGUUCGACCUUUAAAAUCUUACAUGAUUUGAGUUCAAACCGGUGUGAGCCAGGUUGGUUUCUAUCUUUUAUUUGAUAUAAGAUUACUCUAGUACGAAAGGAUCGAGUGGUUAGAAAAUUUCUUAAUAUAGAUGGAAUUUAAA
rnacentral:rRNA from 1 species